GCAUAUCUUACCCCCACGCAAAUGUUAUGAUUAAUUGAUUAUUAUGUUAAUAAUACAUUAUUACAUAUUUUAUAUCUAUAAAGAUUAAUAUGUGAAAAGUUAUAUAUAGGGAUGGCAAUCAAGGACCUGGACCGCGGGCCUGUCCCGUAAAGGCUUGCUGCGGGGCGGGAUUGGGCCUCCAUUUGGUAAGCCCGCAAAAUUGCGGGCCUCGCGGGACGGGUUCAAAGCGGGACGGGUCAAAAGCGGGACGGGUCAAAAGCGGGAUGGGUCGAAAGCGGGAUGGGCUUAACCUGCGGGAUUUUGAAUUUCUUUUUUUAUUACACACAACUAUGAAUUGCUUUAUUACAAUGUGAUAUUUCUUGUUUAAGUUGAUUGGUUUUGUUUUUAGUAUUAUGAAGUGGUGUUUUUCUUAAAUUAAAUUUGGUUACAGUGGUGUUGUUUAGGAGAAAAGUUAGUUGUGUAACACGUCACUUGUGUAAUUUGGUAAAGUGAUUCACGAUUUUCUUUGCAAUCCAAAUAAUUAAAAAGAGAGAUGGUUUGAUGAAGACA
rnacentral:lncRNA from 1 species